CCACAGCUCCUCUGGGCACCCUGUGCCAGGGCCUGCCCACCCUCACAGGGAAGAAUUUCUUCCCAAUAUCCCAUCUAUUCUGUGUGAAUCCAUUCCCCUUCGUCCUCUUACUACACGCUCUUGUACAAAGUCCUUCUCCGUGUUUCUUGUCAGUUCUUUCAGGUACUGGAAGGCUGUACUUAGGUCACCCCAAAGCUUCUCUUCUCUGGGCUGAACAAUCCCAAUUCUCUCAGCCUUUCCUCACAGCAGAGGUGCUCCAUCCCCUCUGAUCAUCUUGGUGCCUCCCCUGGACUCGCUCCAACAGGUCAAUGCCCUUCCAGAGCCAAGUUACACCACUGCACCAGUAAAUCUGUCCAGAGCCUGCCCCCAUCCAGCCCCUGUUGUUGCUCCUUACCUCCUGGAAUGUGUUUUCUGCCUAAAACUUUUUGUUUUGUGAACCCUGUGGCUUCUCUGUAACCAAGCAGCAAACGUGCUGUGCAAUUUGUCAUUGCUGUAACCCCUCUCUAGCAGUAUUGCAUCAGGCACGUGGUCUCACCCUGACUGCAGCCAGCCUUUAGCAGGGCACCAACUGAAAAUGUUUACAAUAAACAUCUCAUUUAACCCAAUGGCUCUUUGGAAAGGGGCCUCACUGAUCAAAUUACACCAACAGGUUUUCCCAAGGCAGGUACUGGCCUGACUGCUCUCAAGAAGGUGCUUCUGCCACAGAAAAACUUCACAUAGAAACGGCAGGUGCCUUCAAUUCAGAGUGAUUGGGGUCAGAAAGACAGAGAUGAUCAAAGCCAGGGCAGGUAAAAAACUGCUUGUGCAAAAUCACAGCUGUGCCACAGCCAAGGCACAAACACAGGCAAAGUACAACCAAAAGGCACAAAAGCAGCACAGCAUCAGGGCAAGGGUUGCUUAGGGUGGAAUACUUCCCAAAAAGAGGUUGUGGGUGGUACAAGAUCUUCACCAAUACAAUGAGCAAUCUCGUAUGAAGCCAGCAGCAUUUGCUUUCAGCACAAGUCUGGGGAAAAACACUACAAACACCCAGUUCAGGUCUUUUUUUCUUCUCCUUUUUUAACCCUUUAAAGUUCUACAAAGUAUUAAUAGAAAAUCCAUAGCUCUUAACUUCCAGCAUCCUUGAACAUCACACACAAGAUGCAGACACAGACACCACCUUCAUUUUGACAGAAGGACAGAGCAGCCCUCAGGCAGAGUUAGUAAGAUUCAUAAACCAUCCUCCCUGCUACAGACCAGGCUGUGCAUGAGAAAAUUCCAGGAACAACAGGUCCCCAUUCAUUCAAACAAGCACUGAAGCAGAAAAACGAGAGCUCAGUGAGCACAGAUAGCUAAACGCACCAUUUUAAUACAAACCAGGCUCAUUUUCACCAGCUCUCCAGCUGCCUCCGGUUCAACAGUGGCAAAUCAGAGCAAAGCAGAAAACUGCUGUCAGAUCAACUCAUCCCAUUUGUCCAUUAAAAAGUCCUCGUGGAUUUAUUGGGCAAGGUAUCAUUGUGUUGUAGGCAACCCUUCCGCUCCCCUCUCCCCCGAGUCAUCAGAAAAGUGCAGAUGAAAUCCAUGGCAUGAAGACACACAUCUCUCCUUGGUCCAUCCCAUUGGAUAUUCUUCAUUCUAGUACCUAAGAACAGGUGAAUCCCUUGGGAGUGCUUUGUACAAGCAACAGAUUGAGUGUCCCGCUUGGAAAACCUGAAAAUCCUGCAGGAAUUAACAGUGGCAAGGAUCCCUCCAGGUCUAAAAGUACCAUCCAGUUUCAGAUCAUAAUCCAGUUCAUCAAAUUCUUCUCUCUUUUUUUGUCCUUGAAACAAUCACACAGCCUGUAAAUCCGUAUUUCCAAGACCAUUUGGCAUGAUAAAGUAAAUGCAGAUUACAUGUUAGGUGACAAGGUUGAAUAAAAACUACACACCAGGGAAUUACAGUGGCCUAUUCCCGACCACAGGAUUACAUUUACAGUACAGGACAAAUACACGUGGAACAAUUAAACCUACAAAUAUUAUUAAUAAGCAAAGCCCAGGAUAGAAUACAUUGACUUACAAAUAACAUCUUCAAAUACAUCCAAAAAUGUGAAAUGGAGCACUGAUCUGUUAGAUCCACCUACUUCCUGGGAGGAAAAUGCAACCAGGGAAGGAAGAGAAGGGAGUUUCACUCUCCUUCAGCCCACCCCAAUCCACCCCUUCUUUCUUUUAAAGCAGAAACAAAAAGAGUACCUCCCUUUUUUUUUUUUUUUUUUCGUUUUGUUAAAUCUCGGUUCCAAAGAGAACCAUCACAGUAGCCAGACACUGAAGACUGUCUCCAAAGUACUGCAAACUCAGAGAUACAGUAAUGGUCAUAUUGGCAAGACCUUGAGGGAACAAAUAGGUCCAAUGCAAACUGCCAGAGCUGAGAGUCUGUCUCUCAUGAAGAGACUCUCGGGCAAUUCAAUGAUUUCAAAAGGGCUCAGAGACUUGCAUGAAGUCAUCAAGCUCAGGGCAGAUGGCCAAAAUGCUUGUGUCUCCUAGCACAGGGAAUAAAGCUGUUGGAAAGCCAGGAUCCUUCCCACAGUGGCUGGGCCCAAGGCUGUGCUGGUUUGUGCAGAAGCUGGUCAGUGACCUCCUCAUUCCUUAAAAUUCCUGUGCUUCAGCCAGAGUCAGCUUCAGGCUAACAGGCUACAGCAGAGAGAUGCCUUCAGAUGCCCUGCACAGGACUGUGCAGACACAGCAUGAAGUCUUCACCCACAUGUGGGAUUUCUGCCUGGGAAACUCUCUGCUCCAUGCAAAAAGCUGAGAGGAAACAUGGGAAAGCCCUGCAGGAGUAACUCCAACAGUACUUGAGAGAUUCUGACUUGUCCUCGAGGCCACAACUGCCUCACAAGGCUGUGCUGGGAAAACUCUCUCACCCUAAAAACAGCAGGGAAAAAUAGGAAGGCUGAGCCACGUGCCCAAGGCUGGAACACCUCUGACUUGCUGCAUCCUUUCCUCAGCUUCUCCCAGCAUCUUUGUAAUACUGUGAAGGGACUUGGCUCAUUACAACUACUAUCCUACCUAACAGGCAAGGGUGCUUCCUCUGAGGCCAGCCUGCCUUUGAGGUCUGUUUUCAAAAUUAGUACCAUAAAGAAAUGACCACAACCAAGGUCAUGGUCAAACAGAUGAACCCUCCAACCGUCCCUGGCGUGCCACAAAAAAAAAA